UACACAGUUGGACUCUCUUGAAAGACUUAUAAAAGAAAAACAGGAUGAAGUUGUCUAUUACGAUCCAUGUGAAAGUCCAGAGGAACUUAGUCAUUGACUGUGGUGGGGCUGCAGGACGAUAAGAAUUCGGAAGUGAAAGAACUCAGAAGGCAGUGCCAGCAGCUGGAGUCUAUUAAACGGGGCAGGAUCUGUGUCAAAAGAGCUUCUCUCCAGAGUAGAAAGGAUCAGUGCGAAGAAAAUCAUUGGCUCAGAUUGCAACAGGCUGAAGAAAGCAUAAGAUAUUCUCGUCAGCAUCACAGUAUUCAGAUGAAAAGAGACAAGAUAAAAAGGAGCAAAAGAAAAAAGAAUGGAUCAACCAAGAACGUCAAACACUCCAACAAUUGAGAGCAUUUAAAGAUGUAAGUUUUAUAAACAAUCACCUCAUCUACACUUCUGGGGAAAUAAAUGAAGACCGCUCUAAAGAGGAAAGUAUUA
rnacentral:lncRNA from 1 species